rfam:Trichobilharzia regenti genome assembly, scaffold: TRE_scaffold0004054
AUCCAGCUGACCACGAGUCCCAAAUAGGACAAAAUGCGCAUCCUGGAU